GAUGAACGCUGGCGGCGUGCUUAACACAUGCAAGUUGAACGAGUGGCGGACGGGUGAGUAAUGUCUGGGAAACUGCCUGAUGGAGAGGGCUAACUCCUGGAAACUGUUGCUAAUAACGCAUACCAUCGGCUGGGCCCAGAUGGGAUUAGCGAGAAGGUGGGGUAACGGCUCACCUGGGCGACGAUCACUAGCUGGUCUGAGAGGAUGACAAGACACAAUGGGACGGAGACACGGGCCAGACGCCUACGGGCGGCAGCAGUGGGGAAUAUUGCACAAUGGGCGAAAGCCUGAUGCAGCCAUGCCGCGUGUAUGAAGAAGGCCUUAGGGUGGUAAAGUACUUUAAGCGGGGAGGAGUGAGCCGCAGAAGAAGCACCGGCUAACUCCGUGCCAGCAGCCGCGGUAAUAC
rnacentral:rRNA from 1 species